UCUUUUAUGCGCCCCUUUCUAAACCCGCUUCUUAAUUUCCCUUCCCCAGUCAUGGUUUUCCCGGAUUAAUUAUCCUUAAUUAAGGCCGGUCGUGACAGAGUGGUAUCAGAGCAGUUCGUUUGCUCUGAGCCUAAGAGUUUAUUUAAGCCAAACUUAGAAUGGAUCACUAAAGUGUCUAGAGUUCAAUCGACAAAGCUCAGCACUUCAUCGUAUCACACUCAACGAAGCAGAAUGGUAUGCUCUUCCAAGUUUUGAGUUAAUGUUUACAAAAAGUGAAAAUUAUCGUAAUAGCAAAGUGAGUAACUGUUAAUAACUAUGUUAUGUUGUUAUUGAAUGAAAUGAUUUACGCAAGCGCGAUUAAGUAUGCCUAUGGAAUGAAUCCCUAUGAACAUAGAGCUAUUAAGAUAUGAGAUCACCACUACGACAGAACAUAGAAGCAAAC
rnacentral:lncRNA from 1 species